ACCGCACGGGCACUAGGCCUUCACUGUGAUCUGCAGAAUGCCUGUUAUACUGUCUGAGAUCAUUGUGAAAGCUAUUUGCCUUGCUUGU
rfam:Ascaris suum AG00009, whole genome shotgun sequence.